GUUAUAGGGUCAAGUGACUAAGAGCAUGUGGUGGAUGCCUUGGCGAUGAUAGGCGACGAAAGACGUGAUAGCCUGCGAUAAGCUUCGGGGAGCUGGCAAAUAAGCUUUGAUCCGGAGAUUUCUGAAUGGGGAAACCCACCCGCAAGGGUAUCGCAUACUGAAUACAUAGGUAUGCGAGGCGAACCUGGAGAACUGAAACAUCUAAGUACCCAGAGGAAAAGACAUCAACCGAGAUUCCGAAAGUAGUGGCGAGCGAAAUCGGAACAGCCUUCUAGUGAUAGUCAGACGGUUAACAAAACGGAAUGGAAAGUCCGGCCAUAGUAGGUGAUAGCCCUGUAUGUGAAAACCGACUGGUGGUACUGAGCUAGAGAAAAGUAGGGCGGGGCACGAGAAACCCUGUCUGAAUAUGGGGGGACCAUCCUCCAAGGCUAAAUACUCAUCAUCGACCGAUAGUGAACCAGUACCGUGAGGGAAAGGCGAAAAGAACCCCGGGAGGGGAGUGAAAUAGAUCCUGAAACCGCAUGCUUACAAAAAGUAGGAGCCCGCAAGGGUGACUGCGUACCUUUUGUAUAAUGGGUCAGCGACUUACAUUCAGUGGCAAGGUUAACCGAAUAGGGGAGCCGUAGAGAAAUCGAGUCCGAAUAGGGCGUCCAGUCGCUGGGUGUAGACCCGAAACCAAGUGAUCUAUCCAUGGCCAGGAUGAAGGUGCCGUAACAGGUACUGGAGGUCCGAACCGACUAGUGUUGCAAAACUAGCGGAUGAGCUGUGGAUAGGGGUGAAAGGCUAAACAAACUUGGAAAUAGCUGGUUCUCUCCGAAAACUAUUUAGGUAGUGCCUCAAGUAUUACCUGCGGGGGUAGAGCACUGUUUAGGCUAGGGGGUCAUGGCGACUUACCAAACCUAUGCAAACUCCGAAUACCGCAGAGUACAGCUUGGGAGACAGAGCACCGGGUGCUAACGUCCGGACUCAAGAGGGAAACAACCCAGACCGCCAGCUAAGGUCCCUAAAAUUGGCUAAGUGGGAAACGAAGUGGGAAGGCUAAAACAGUCAGGAUGUUGGCUUAGAAGCAGCCAUCAUUUAAAGAAAGCGUAAUAGCUCACUGAUCGAGUCGUCCUGCGCGGAAGAUGUAACGGGGCUAAGCCAGUUACCGAAGCUGCGGAUUUGCAAUUUAUUGCAAGUGGUAGGAGAGCGUUCUGUAAGCCUGUGAAGGUGCCUGGUAACGGGUGCUGGAGGUAUCAGAAGUGCGAAUGCUGACAUGAGUAGCGUUAAAGGGGGUGAAAAGCCCCCUCGCCGUAAGCGCAAGGUUUCCUACGCAACGUUCAUCGGCGUAGGGUGAGUCGGCCCCUAAGGCGAGGCAGAGAUGCGUAGCUGAUGGGAAACAGGUCAAUAUUCCUGUACCGAUGUGUAGUGCGAUGUGGGGACGGAGAAGGUUAGCUCAGCCAACUGUUGGAUAUGUUGGUUCAAGCCUGUAGUCGUGCCUGGUAGGCAAAUCCGCCGGGCUUAGAUGAGGGGUGAUAACGAGUCUGCUUGCAGACGAAGUGAGUGAUACCCUGCUUCCAGGAAAAGCCACUAAGCUUCAGCUACACACGACCGUACCGCAAACCGACACUGGUGCGCGAGAUGAGUAUUCUAAGGCGCUUGAGAGAACUCUGGAGAAGGAACUCGGCAAAUUGAUACCGUAACUUCGGGAGAAGGUAUGCCGCAAGUAGGUGAACUUGAACAAAGGGAGCCCAAAGCGGUUGCAAAAAAAUCGGUGGCUGCGACUGUUUAAUAAAAACACAGCACUCUGCAAACACGAAAGUGGACGUAUAGGGUGUGACGCCUGCCCGGUGCUGGAAGAUUAAAUGAUGGGGUGCAAGCUCUUGAUUGAAGUCCCAGUAAACGGCGGCCGUAACUAUAACGGUCCUAAGGUAGCGAAAUUCCUUGUCGGGUAAGUUCCGACCUGCACGAAUGGCGUAACGAUGGCCACACUGUCUCCUCCAGAGACUCAGCGAAGUUGAAAUGUUUGUGAUGAUGCAAUCUCCCCGCGGAAAGACGGAAAGACCCCAUGAACCUUUACUGUAGCUUUGUAUUGGAUUUUGAACGGAUCUGUGUAGGAUAGGUGGGAGGCUUUGAAGUGAGGACGCUAGUUCUCAUGGAGCCGACGUUGAAAUACCACCCUGGUGCGUUUGAGGUUCUAACCCAGGUCCCUUAUCGGGAUCGGGGACAGUGCAUGGUAGGCAGUUUGACUGGGGCGGUCUCCUCCCAAAGCGUAACGGAGGAGUUCGAAGGUACGCUAGUUACGGUCGGACAUCGUGACGAUAGUGCAAUGGCAUAAGCGUGCUUAACUGCGAGACUGACAAGUCGAGCAGAUGCGAAAGCAGGACAUAGUGAUCCGGUGGUUCUGUAUGGAAGGGCCAUCGCUCAACGGAUAAAAGGUACUCUGGGGAUAACAGGCUGAUACCGCCCAAGAGUUCAUAUCGACGGCGGUGUUUGGCACCUCGAUGUCGGCUCAUCUCAUCCUGGGGCUGUAGUCGGUCCCAAGGGUAUGGCUGUUCGCCAUUUAAAGAGGUACGUGAGCUGGGUUUAAAACGUCGUGAGACA
rnacentral:rRNA from 1 species